rnacentral:rRNA from 1 species
UGGUAGAUAGGAAGAGAAUUCCAAGGCCAACGGGAGAAGGGUUGUUAAGGAACUCGGCAAGUUGACCCCGUAACUUCGGGAGAAGGGGUGCUCAUGAAAGUGAGCCGCAGAGAAUAGGCCCAAGCGACUGUUUAGCAAAAACACAGCUCUAUGCUAAAUCGAAAGAUGACGUAUAUGGGGUGACACCUGCCCGGUGCUGGAAGGUUAAGAGGAGGGGUGAGAGCUCUGAAUUGAAGCCCCAGUAAACGGCGGCCGUAACAAUAACGGUCCUAAGGUAGCGAAAUUCCUUGUCAGGUAAGUUCUGACCCGCACGAAUGGUGUAACGAUUUGGGCACUGUCUCAACAACCCGCCCGGCGAAAUUGUAGUACCGGUGAAGAUGCCGGUUACCCGCGACUAGACGGAAAGACCCCAUGGAGCUUCACUGUAGCUUAAUAUUGGAUUUCGGUAUUUGAUGUACAGGAUAGGUGGGAGACUAGGAAGCAAAGGCGUCAGCUUUUGUGGAGUCAAACUUGGGAUACCACUCUUUAAGUGCUGGAAUUCUAACCUGCGACCAUGAAACUGGUCGGGGGACAAUGUUAGGUGGGCAGUUUGACUGGGGCGGUCGCCUCCAAAAAGGUAACGGAGGCGCUCAAAGGUUAGCUCAGUAUGGAUGGAAACCAUGCGAAGAGUGUAAACGCGUAAGCUAGCCUAACUGCGAGACUGACGGGUCGAGCAGUAACGAAAGUUGGAGUUAGUGAUCCGGCGGUAUGUGAAUGGAAAUGCCGUCGCUCAACGGAUAAAAGCUACCCUGGGGAUAACAGGCUGAUCUCCCCCAAGAGUCCACAUCGACGGGGAGGUUUGGCACCUUGAUGUCGGCUCAUCGCACCCUGGGGCUGAAUUUGGUCCCAAGGGUUUGGCUGUUCGCCAAUUAAAGCGGUACGCGAGCUGGGUUCAGAACGUCGUGAGACAGUUCGGUCCCUAUCUGUCGUGGGCGAAGGAUAUUUGAGAGGAGCUGUCCCUAGUACGAGAGGACCGGGAUGGACGCACCUCUGGUGCACCAGUUGUCACGCCAGUGGCACAGCUGGGCAGCUAAGUGCGGAACGGAUAAACGCUGAAGGCAUCUAAGCGUGAAGCCGGCCUUAAGAUAAGAUAUCCCAUCGUAAGAGUAAGACCCCUUAAAGACUAUGAGGUUGAUAGGCUCAAAGUGUAAGCAUGGUGACGUGUUAAGCUAGCGAGUACUAAUUGGUCGAGGGCUUUUCCG